rnacentral:misc_RNA from 1 species
UGGAAACGUAUACAUUUUUAUGCAUUUUCCUCCUAAUUACUUGCAAUUUAUUUGGUUCAAUAUGUCUAUGAGCGAAAGCUUGAGAUAAAGAUAAGGAUUACUGCAAUGAAAAUCAAGUGAAUUUUAAAUUUUUAUUAACCAACAGAAAGUUCAUUUCUGUCUAGCGUUUAUUGUCUAAAACAUAAUUGAGCAUUUUAUUUUCUUACUUUAUUAUGAAAUUUAAAUAUUUAGUAUGCCUACUUUUUAAAUAUAAAUUAUAAGAGGAAAAAAGAAAGAGGAUAAAUGUCUGUUGUAAAGGAUAAAGAGACAGAUAAAACAGUGAAUAUUGAAGGGAUUUUAGCUGACUUUUUUCUGAAGAAAAUGAAUGGCUCUAAAUCUGAGUCAUGGAAUUAUGAGAAAAAAAGGAAAAAGAAAGAUAAGAAACACAAGACGAAGAAAUCUAGGCAUAAAAGAAGCAGAUCUUGUAGUUCCGAAGAAAAAUCAAAAGAUUAUAUGAAAUGUGUUAUAGAUCAUUCAAGCUCUGAAGAAAAAGAUAUUAAACGACUUCAGAGAUUAAAAAGAUUAGACACUAAAGAUAACAAUUUAAAUAUUGUUAGUACUGUAGGCUCUGAAGAUAAUGAAUCAAAAAUCAAACUUCAAUCAUUUUAUCAGAGUGAUAUUCUUUACGGGCCAUCGCUGCAAACAUUAUUAGGCCUUCCAAAUAAUGAUGGUCACGAGACUAUUAAUUCAGAAGUAAAUAUUGCUAGUAAGGAUAAGAUUAAUACUGAAGCAAGUAAAAAUACUACAGUUGCAGAUAUUAUUGGUAAUAAGAUCAAUAUCGAAGCAAAUAAUACUAUUGAUGGUGUAGAAGCCCAAACUAAUGAAAAUAUAAAAGGAUCUUUGAAUUUGGAUAAAGAUGAAGCUAAAGCAAACACAGUAUUAUCUGAUAAUAAAAAUGAUGCAAAAUCAACUAUUUCUAAAGGAGGUGUUGAAUCUGGGGAUAUUAAACACUCUGUUAAUGUUCAUGGUUCAAAUUCUGAAGCAAUUGAGUCUAAGAGAAAAAAGAAGUCCGACCGAUAUUCACGAUCAAGAUCCAGAAGCAGAUCUUAUGGUUCAGAGAAACAUUCGAAAUCAUAUAAGAGUAGACGUCAUUCUCGCUCCAGAUCAAAUUCAAGGUCUAAAUCCUUCAAAGAUAAAAAAAUCUCACGGUCCAGGAAUAGAUCUCGUUCAAGGUCUUAUUCACGUCAUAAAAGGUAUAAAUCAAGAUCUAGAUCUAAAGAAUUUCAAAAAAGAUACAGGAAAUAUCCCAGGAAGGAUAGAAGUCGAUCAACAUCUAGAAGGCGUAGAAGAUCACGUUCCAGGUCCAGUUCAAGAAGACGUGAUGCUUCAUGGUCCCAAAGAAGGCGUAGAUCUCGUUCCCAUUCAUAUGAACGUUCAUGUCGUUCUCCAGACAAAGAUUCAAAACACAAAUCUAAAUCAUAUAAUAAAAGAAGUUCCAGUCGUGAACAUGAUUCUAGUAGAAAGAAGCGCUCUCGAUCAAAAUCACCUGACAAACAUAGUCGAAGUACAAGCAGCUUGAAAAUAGAUCAAGCAAAAAUUCUGGAAAUUGCUCAAAAAAAUGUUCUUAGCAUGAUAGAAAAAGGUACUUUGCCCGAAGGACUAUCUUUAGAUAAUUUCAAGAAAGAGCAGAUACUUUCAUUAAAAGCAGGUGGAAAAUCAGUACAAGAAUUAACAGACUUUUGUACAAAAUUGUCGAAAAAAGAAAAUGACCCUGUAGCAGAAGAUAAGGAUGAUGCUGGUAACAAUGCAGAAUCUGGUUUUAUUCACCACCCUUUCAAAAUAAAAGAAGCAUCUGCGAUUAAACUUAAUAUAAAGAAUUCUGUGCAAAUUCCUGUGAGAACACACGCAGAAAAAGUUGCCGAAACUGCUCGACUAAGUUCUCAGUUUCCAGUAUCUAGUGGCAAUAAGCACAAGCAAAAGGAAUUAGAAUGGAUUCCAGUAGAGCCAGAUUCUAAAACUCAGAAAGAUUCUGAUGCAUCAAAAGCCUUGGUCCCACUUUCCCUACCAACUAAAGCUGUUCCUAUUGUAUCCAAGCCAAAGAUACUAGAGGCGACAAAUACUGCUAGUACUUUGUCACCAAAUCCUGUAACAGCAGCCAUUAUACCACCUGUGCCAUUACCGCCUCCACCUCCUCCUCCACCACCACCUCCUGAAAUUACAGUACCAGUAUUGCCUCCACCACCAUUACCACCACCACUACCACCUUCUUUACCCCCUAGUAGUUUAUUAUCAACAGUUACUCCUGUUGCUGUACCAGAACAACCUCAUGUUACAUUGGUUGAUUACCCAAUGAUUCCUACGAAUAGUUAUUCAUUUGUAGCUCCUUCUCAGUAUCCUGUUACUUCUGAAAUGAAUACUUUUUAUACACAAGUCCAGUAUCCAAAUAUAGUGUCUGCGAAUGAACAGCCAACAGUUUAUCCUGUAACUACUAGUCAUUCAACAGAAACAACCAGUUUUCAACCUAAAAAGCCAAUUGAUGUUUCUGCUAUUGUGGCCCAAAGAUUCAAAGCCCUAACAAAGUUACAAACCAAUCCUAAUGAUACAGAGGCUCUCCAAACUUUAGAACAGGCACAAGCAAGUAUAAAUGAUUGGGUUCAAUCACAAGAAGUUCCUGGUUUGUUUACUGGCUCAACAGGUGCUAAGCUUUUAAGUGUAGAAGAACUUAGUGGGCCCAGACAUUGGAAUUAUAGGGCAAAAAAGAGGAUAGGGUAUUUCUUAAGAACCCUCAUGUGCGUAUUCAGAUUAAGAAUUCAAAGUCAUCUUGUAGCAAGCCCUCAAUUUAAUCAAGAAACAGAAGUGGAAAUACUAAGUGUUUUUUAAUGGAACAUCUUUCAGAAAUUGCUGUCUUCAAAUGGAAUGGAAAGUUGCUGUCCAAAGGUGGAAACUUAUAAUUUUUGGAUAUUUUUACUCGUGCAGCUCCUGUAACAGAAGGGAAAGGAAUGAGUUUAC